rnacentral:rRNA from 1 species
ACUCCUACGGGAGGCAGCAGUGGGGAAUCUUGCGCAAUGGGGCGAAAGCCUGACGCAGCCAUGCCGCGGUGAAUGAUGAAGGUCUUAGGAUUGUAAAAUUCUUUCACCGGGGACGAUAAUGACGGUACCCGGAGAAGAAGCCCCGGCUAACUUCGUGCCAGCAGCCGCGGUAAU